GCGCAGCUUGUCCCAGAAUAGCCCAGAAUCCACCGUGCGGCCCAUUGACAUGCUUCAGCAACAUUUCCCAUCUCCUUAAAAGUAUAUAUGUCGUUGCGAAUGUCAGACUCCACUCUGAGGCACAUUGACGUGCAGAUUGAACAUGGAGGGAGAACCAGUCUACAGUCUCCUCUUAAUAGAUAGAGGGGGAAGGAGACACCACAAGAGUAAAAAGGAGGAAAUGGUGGGUGUGAGGAGAGCAAGAGGCUGGCUGGUGAGAGGGAGCGAAAGAGGCGAGGAGAGAAAGUCUGAAAAUCUUAUAGCCAGGAGACAGAGGAAGCUAAAGGAAAAUCAACCAUCUCAGCAGAGCAGACUGUUGAUAAAUUGUAAGCAUUUCUGUGGGUUUGUGCUAAUGCUGCUACCCUGCUACUCCUAGACCGCAGUCACAAGGAGACAGAAAGGGCAUCUUAGAGAGAGCACCGGAUGUGGGAGAGGGUAUUGCAGCAAUUUGUGAAGGUAAAAUUCAGGACGUAAGAAGAGGUGGACAGUACCAAGAGAAGGAGAAGAGAAAGGUGAUCCCUGGGGACAACGCCUCUGACACAGGCCCAUCGCAGGGCUGUUCAAUGUCGCUCCAAGAGGGCCAAAACACUAGUUUUCAUCCUCUCCUAAUAUGGGACGAAUUCAGAAAUGGUACACCAGGUAGGAACAAAAACCAGAAGUGUUUUUGCCUUCCAGGAGCGGAAUAGCCCUUCACUAGAGGACUCUACUACUGCACACACCAUAAGGUAUCCACAGUAAGGUGCCGGAAGAACACUCCAAGUCUCCACAAACUUAAACCAAUAAAAAAGAUCAGUCUUUUACUA